UAGGGAAUCUUCCGCAAUGGACGCAAGUCUGACGGAGCAACGCCGCGUGAGUGAAGAAGGAUUUCGGUUCGUAAAACUCUGUUGUUAGAGAAGAACAGCGCAUAGAGUAACUGUUAUGCGUGUGACGGUAUCUAACCAGAAAGCCACGGCUAACUACGUGCCAGCAGCCGCGGUAAUACGUAGGUGGCAAGCGUUAUCCGGAAUUAUUGGGCGUAAAGCGCGCGUAGGCGGUUUUUUAAGGCGGAUGUGAAAGCCCACGGCUCAACCGUGGAGGGUCAUUGGAAACUGGAAAACUUGAGUGCAGAAGAGGAAAGUGGAAUUCCAUGUGUAGCGGUGAAAUGCGCAGAGAUAUGGAGGAACACCAGUGGCGAAGGCGACUUUCUGGUCUGUAACUGACGCUGAUGUGCGAAAGCGUGGGGAUCAAACAGG
rnacentral:rRNA from 1 species